rnacentral:rRNA from 1 species
GAUGAACGCUAGCGGCAGGCCUAAUACAUGCAAGUCGAACGGUGUAGCAAUACACAGUGGCGCACGGGUGCGUAACACGUAUGCAACCUACCUUACAUUGGGGGAUAGCCUUUCGAAAGGGAGAUUAAUACCGCAUAAGACAGUAACUAGGCAUCUAGUAGCUGUUAAAGAUUUAUCGAUGUAAGCUGGGCAUGCGUCCAAUUAGUCAGUUGGCGAGGUAAUGGCUCACCAAGACGAUGAUUGGUAGGGGAACUGAGAGGUCAAUCCCCCACACUGGCACUGAGAUACGGGCCAGACUCCUACGGGAGGCAGCAGUAGGGAAUAUUGGGCAAUGGGCGCAAGCCUGACCCAGCCAUGCCGCGUGCAGGAAGAAGGCGUUAUGCGUUGUAAACUGCUUUUAUACAGGAAGAAACGACCCUUGCGAGGGGCAUUGACGGUACUGUAUGAAUAAGCACCGGCUAACUCCGUGCCAGCCGCCGCCAUAAAAC